GCUUACCAUGCAAGUCGAACGGUGAAGCAGAGCUUGCUCUGUGGAUCAGUGGCGAACGGGUGAGUAACACGUGAGCAAUCUGCCCCUGACUCUGGGAUAAGCGCUGGAAACGGCGUCUAAUACCGGAUACGAGCUGCGACCGCAUGGUCAGUAGCUGGAAAGAAUUUCGGUCAGGGAUGAGCUCGCGGCCUAUCAGCUUGUUGGUGAGGUAAUGGCUCACCAAGGCGUCGACGGGUAGCCGGCCUGAGAGGGUGACCGGCCACACUGGGACUGAGACACGGCCCAGACUCCUACGGGAGGCAGCAGUGGGGAAUAUUGCACAAUGGGCGAAAGCCUGAUGCAGCAACGCCGCGUGAGGGAUGACGGCCUUCGGGUUGUAAACCUCUUUUAGCAGGGAAGAAGCGAAAGUGACGGUACCUGCAGAAAAAGCGCCGGCUAACUACGUGCCAGCAGCCGCGGUAAUACGUAGGGCGCAAGCGUUAUCCGGAAUUAUUGGGCGUAAAGAGCUCGUAGGCGGUCUGUCGCGUCUGCUGUGAAAACCCGAGGCUCAACCUCGGGCCUGCAGUGGGUACGGGCAGACUAGAGUGCGGUAGGGGAGAUUGGAAUUCCUGGUGUAGCGGUGGAAUGCGCAGAUAUCAGGAGGAACACCGAUGGCGAAGGCAGAUCUCUGGGCCGUAACUGACGCUGAGGAGCGAAAGGGUGGGGAGCAAACAGGCUUAGAUACCCUGGUAGUCCACCCCGUAAACGUUGGGAACUAGUUGUGGGGUCCAUUCCACGGAUUCCGUGACGCAGCUAACGCAUUAAGUUCCCCGCCUGGGGAGUACGGCCGCAAGGCUAAAACUCAAAGGAAUUGACGGGGACCCGCACAAGCGGCGGAGCAUGCGGAUUAAUUCGAUGCAACGCGAAGAACCUUACCAAGGCUUGACAUAUAGAGGAAACGUCUGGAAACAGUCGCCCCGCAAGGUCUCUAUACAGGUGGUGCAUGGUUGUCGUCAGCUCGUGUCGUGAGAUGUUGGGUUAAGUCCCGCAACGAGCGCAACCCUCGUUCUAUGUUGCCAGCACGUAAUGGUGGGAACUCAUGGGAUACUGCCGGGGUCAACUCGGAGGAAGGUGGGGAUGACGUCAAAUCAUCAUGCCCCUUAUGUCUUGGGCUUCACGCAUGCUACAAUGGCCGGUACAAAGGGCUGCAAUACCGUGAGGUGGAGCGAAUCCCAAAAAGCCGGUCCCAGUUCGGAUUGAGGUCUGCAACUCGACCUCAUGAAGUCGGAGUCGCUAGUAAUCGCAGAUCAGCAACGCUGCGGUGAAUACGUUCCCGGGUCUUGUACACACCGCCCGUCAAGUCAUGAAAGUCGGUAACACCUGAAGCCGGUGGCCCAACCCUUGUGGAUGG
rnacentral:rRNA from 1 species